UGAGUACGAGAUGCUACGGCAUCGAAGCAGUCUAUGUCAUACUUCCAAGAAAAGCUUGCACUGUCAUAAACAAAGAAUGCCUGUACCAUAACCGACACAGGUGGGUAGGUAGAGUAUACUAAGGGGCGCGAGAUAACUCUCUCUAAGGAACUCGGCAAAAUGACUCCGUAACUUCGGGAGAAGGAGUGCCUUAUUUCUAAGGUUGCAAUAACAAGAUCCAAGCAACUGUUUACCAAAAACACAGGUCUCCGCUAAGUCGUAAGACGAUGUAUGGGGGCUGACGCCUGCCCAGUGCCAGAAGGUUAAAGAAGUUGGUUAGCAUUAGCGAAGCUGAUAACUGAAGCCCUGGUGAACGGCGGCCGUAACAAUAACGGUCCUAAGGUAGCGAAAUUCCUUGUCGGGUAAGUUCCGACCCGCACGAAAGGCGUAAUGAUUUGGAUACUGUCUCGGAGAGGGGCUCGGUGAAAUAGACUUGUCUGUGAAGAUGCGGACUACCUGCACCUGGACAGAAAGACCCUAUGAAGCUUUACUGUAACUUGAGAUUGGAAUUGGACUUUAUUUGCGCAGUAUAGGUGGGAGGCGUUGAGAAUAAUCUUGCGGGAUUGUUGGAGCCAUCAGUGAGAUACCACUCUUGUAAUGUUAGAUUUCUAACUUUGUAUCAUUAUCUGGUCAAAGAACAGUUUCAGGCGGGCAGUUUGACUGGGGCGGUCGCCUCCCAAAGGGUAACGGAGGCGCACAAAGGUUUCCUCUGAACGGGUAGAAAUCGUAUCUAGAGUGUAAAGGCAUAAGGAAGCUUGACUGUGAGACCUACAAGUCGAGCAGGGGCGAAAGUCGGUCUUAGUGAUCUGACGGUGCUGAGUGGAAAGGCCGUCACUCAACGGAUAAAAGUUACUCUAGGAUAACAGGCUGAUCUCCCCCAAGAGUUCACAUCGACGGGGAGGUUUGGCACCUCGAUGUCGGCUCAUCGCAUCCUGGGGCGGUAGUCCGUCCCAAGGGUUGGGCUGUUCGCCCAUGAAAGCGGUACGCGAGCUGGGUUCAGAACGUCGUGAGACAGUUCGGUCCAUAUCCGGUGUAGGCGUUAGAAUAUUGAGAGGAGCCUUCUCUAGUACGAGAGGACCGAGAAGGACAUACCUCUGGUGUACCAGUUAUCGUGCCAACGGUAAACGCUGGGUAGCUAUGUAUGGAGUGGAUAACCGCUGAAAGCAUCUAAGUGGGAAGCCCACCUCAAGAUAAGUAUUCC
rnacentral:rRNA from 1 species